rnacentral:rRNA from 1 species
UACGUAGGGGGCAAGCGUUGUCCGGAAUUAUUUGGGCGUAAAGCGUGCGUAGGUGGUGAGUUAAGUCUGUCGGUGAAAAGCCCCGGGCUCAACCUAGGAACUGCACUCGGAAACUGCGUUUCUUGAGUAUCGGAGAGGAAAGCGGAAAUACCUGGUGUAGAGGUGAAAAUUCGUAGAUAUCAGGUGGAACACCAGUGGCGAAGGCGGCUUCUGGACGAUAACUGACGCUGGAGGCGCGAAAGCUAGGGGAGCAAACGGG